rnacentral:misc_RNA from 1 species
GUGAAUCAUCGAAUCUUUGAACGCAAAUUGCACUCUCCUCGGAGAGUAUGCCUGUUUGAGGGUCGGCCUAAAAAAAACGGCAUUGUUGCCGUUUUUUGGUUACUUUCGUCGGAGAUGGGUUUACUUAAAUUCUGGUUUUAGCGACCUAAAAAAUUUUUUUUCGAUUUUAAGAAUGUUUUUAAGAUUUUUCUUUUUAGUUUAAGGUUUCGAAUGUCUUUUUAAACGUGGCCGUUAUAU